rnacentral:rRNA from 1 species
AUACGGAGGGUGCAAGCGUCGUUCGGAUUUAUUGGGUUUAAAGGGUACGUAGGCGGCCUAUUAAGUCAGUGGUGAAAUCCUACAGCUCAACUGUAGAGGUGCCAUUGAUACUGAUUGGCUUGAGUACUGUUAAGGUAGGCGGAAUUGAUGGUGUAGCGGUGAAAUGCAUAGAUACCAUCAGGAACACCGAUUGCGAAGGCAGCUUACUGGGCAGUAACUGACGCUAAGGUACGAAAGCGUGGGGAGCAAACAGGAUUAGAUACCCCGGUAGUCC